UACAGAGGUCUCAAGCGUUGUUCGGAAUCACUGGGCGUAAAGGGUGCGUAGGUGGCGUGGCAAGUCAGAUGUGAAAGCCCGGGGCUCAACCUCGGAACUGCAUCCGAUACUGCCAUGCUGGAGUACUGAAGAGGUGACUAGAAUUCUCGGUGUAGCAGUGAAAUGCGUAGAUAUCGAGAGGAAUACCAAAGGCGAAGGCAGGUCACUGGGCAGUUACUGACACUGAGGCACGAAGGCCAGGGGAGCAAACGGG
rnacentral:rRNA from 1 species